UAAUUGAUUUUCCCUAGUACGGCGAGUGAAGAGGAAGAGCUCAAAGUUGGAACCUGUUUGGCCUAGCUAAACCGGAUUGUAGACUGUAGAAGUGUUUUCCAGGCAAGCCGAGUAAAUAAGUCCUUUGGAACAGGGCAUCAUAGAGGGUGAGAAUCCCGUCUUUGGCUUGAGCAUUUGCCUUUUGUGAUACGCUUUCAAAGAGUCAGGUUGUUUGGGAAUGCAGCCUAAAUUGGGUGGUAAAUCUCACCUAAAGCUAAAUAUUGGCGAGAAACCGAUAGCGAACAAGUACCGUGAGGGAAAGAUGAAAAGAACUUUGAAAAGAGAGUUAAACAGUAUGUGAAAUUGUUAAAAGGGAACCGUUUGGAGCCAGACUGGCUUGUCUGUAAUCAAUCUAGGCUUCGGCCUGGAUGCACUUGCAGGCUAUGCCUGCCAACGACAAUUUGACUUGAGGGAAAAAACUAGGGGAAAUGUGGCCCACUUGUGGGUGUUAUAGUCCCUUAGAAAAUACCUUGGGUUGGAUUGAGGAACGCAGCGAAUGCUUAUUGGCGAGUUUUCCAGGAAGGUUUUCUGAGGUACUACGGUAUCAAGGUUGAUCUUUUUGGUUAUACUUCUAUUCGCUUAGGUUGUUGGCUUAAUGACUCUAAAUGACCCGUCUUAAAACACGGACCACCA
rnacentral:rRNA from 1 species